GAUGAACGCUAGCUACAGGCUUAACACAUGCAAGUCGAGGGGAAACGAUAUUGGAAGCUUGCUUCCGAUAGGCGUCGACCGGCGCACGGGUGAGUAACGCGUAUCCAACCUGCCCAUCACUUGGGGAUAACCUUGCGAAAGUAAGACUAAUACCCAAUGACGUCUCUAGAAGACAUCUGAAAGAGAUUAAAGAUUUAUCGGUGAUGGAUGGGGAUGCGUCUGAUUAGCUUGUUGGCGGGGUAACGGCCCACCAAGGCGACGAUCAGUAGGGGUUCUGAGAGGAAGGUCCCCCACAUUGGAACUGAGACACGGUCCAAACUCCUACGGGAGGCAGCAGUGAGGAAUAUUGGUCAAUAGGCGAGAGCCUGAACCAGCCAAGUAGCGUGCAGGAUGACGGCCCUAUGGGUUGUAAACUGCUUUUAUAAGGGAAUAAAGUGAGCCACGUGUGGCUUUUUGCAUGUACCUUACGAAUAAGGAUCGGCUAACUCCGUGCCAGCCGCCGCCGUAA
rnacentral:rRNA from 1 species